rnacentral:rRNA from 1 species
UACAGAGGUCCCAAGCGUUGUUCGGAUUCAUUGGGCGUAAAGGGUGCGUAGGCGGCGCGGUAAGUCGGGUGUGAAAUCUCGGGGCUUAACUCCGAAACUGCAUUCGGUACUGCCGUGCUUGAGGACUGGAGAGGAGACUGGAAUUUACGGUGUAGCGGUGAAAUGCGUAGAUAUCGUAAGGAACACCAGUGGCGAAGGCGGCUCACUGGCCCGAUACUGACGCUGAGGCACGAAAGCGUGGGGAGCAAACAGG